AAAAUGAUUUCAUCAAGUAUAAGUAGUAACAGUUACAUGCAAGUAAAUUGCAAAUUUUGGGUGAAGUUUGACAUCAAAUGUAUUACAGAUUUUCUUUACUUGCAGAAUCAAAAGACUGAUUUUGAAGCAAUGGAGAUCUCUGGCUGGUUGGACGUCAUUCGAUAAGAAAGUGAUUGUAGUGUGGUUAUAUAUUUUUCUGGAAACAAGUAAUUGCCUAUC